AUUGAACGCUGGCGGCAGGCCUAACACAUGCACGUCGAACGAGUGGCGGACGUGUGAGUAAUGUCUGGGAAACUGCCCGAUGGGGGGGGAUAACUACUGGAAACAGUCGCUAAUCCCGCAUACCCUCGUAUGUGCCCAUAUGGGAAUCGCUAGUAGGUGGGGUAACGGCUCACCUAGGCGACGAUCCCUAGCUGGUCUGAGAGGAUGACCAGCCACACUGGAACUUAGACACGGUCCAGACUCCUACGGGAGGCAGCAUUGGGGAAUAUUGCACAAUGGGCGCAAGCCUGAUGCAGCCAUGCCGCGGGUAUGAAGAAGGCCUUCGGGUUGUAAAGUACUUUCAGCGAGGAGGCGUUACUCGCAGAAGAAGCACCGGCUAACUCCGUGCCAGCAGCCGCGGUAAUUC
rnacentral:rRNA from 1 species